AUUGAACGCUGGCGGCAUGCCUAACACAUGCAAGUCGAGCGAGCGGCGGACGGGUGAGUAACGUCUGGGUACUUCCCUAUAGAGGGGGGAUACUACUGGAAACGGUAGCUUAUUCCGCAUAUUAUCGUAUUACCCAUAUGGGAUUAGCUAGUAGGUGGGGUAAUGGAUCACAUAGGCGACCAUCCCUAGCUGGGCUGAGAGGCUGAUCAGCCACACUGGGACUGAGACACGGCCCAGACUCCUACGGAGGCAGCAGUGGGGAAUAUUGCACAAUGGGCGCAAGCCUGAUGCAGCCAUGCCGCGUGUAUGAAGAAGGCCCUAGGGUUGUAAAGUACUUUCAGUCGGGAGGCGUUACCGACAGAGGAAGCACCGGCUAACUCCGUGCCAGCAGCCGCGGUAAUAC
rnacentral:rRNA from 1 species